UACUCUGAUGAUUCAUUAGACUAGAGUCUCUGAAAUAAAAUGAAGCUCUUUCACAGUGCACUGAGUU
rnacentral:snoRNA from 1 species